GACGAACGCUGGCGGCGUGCUUAACACAUGCAAGUCGAACGGAAAGGCCCUGCUUGUGUGGGGUGCUCGAGUGGCGAACGGGGGAGUAACACGUGAGUAACCUGCCCUUGACUUUGGGAUAACUUCAGGAAACUGGGGCUAAUACCGGAUAGGAGCUCCUGCUGCAUGGUGGGGGGGGGAAAGUUUCGGCGGUUGGGGAUGGACUCGCGGCUUAUCGGCUUGUUGGUGGGGUAGGGGCAUACCAAGGCUGUGACGGGUAGCCGGCCUGAGAGGGUGACCGGCGACCAUGGGCCUGCGGUAGGGCCCAGCGGCCAACGGUGGACAGUGGGGGGAAACCUUGCCCAGUGGUCGCGCGUCGGUGAAGGCGACCCUCCGGUUGUGAUGCCGGCCUUCGGGUUAAAAACAGCUUCCGCCUAUUACCCCGCUGGUCUGACGGUACUGGAUAAAUAAGCACCGGCUAACUACGUG
rnacentral:rRNA from 1 species